rnacentral:tRNA from 1 species
CGGGGUGUAGCGCAGUUUGGUAGCGCGCUUGGUUCGGGACCAAGAGGCCCCGGGUUCGAAUCCCGGCACUCCGACCA